rnacentral:ncRNA from 2 species
AAGAUGAUGGCAGGGAGAGUCUUAAGCAUCGCUUGGUCACGUUUAAUGAGGAUGCUUUUGCGCCGAAGGAGCAAGCUUUAUGGCUGGUCGAGUCUUAAAGUUAAUCUCUCAGGUACAAGGAACCGCCAUCGGACG